rnacentral:rRNA from 2 species
GGGUGCUAUACAUGCAAGUCGAACGAACUCUGGUAUUGAUUGGUGCUUGCAUCAUGAUUUACAUUUGAGUGAGUGGCGAACUGGUGAGUAACACGUGGGAAACCUGCCCAGAAGCGGGGGAUAACACCUGGAAACAGAUGCUAAUACCGCAUAACAACUUGGACCGCAUGGUCCGAGUUUGAAAGAUGGCUUCGGCUAUCACUUUUGGAUGGUCCCGCGGCGUAUUAGCUAGAUGGUGAGGUAACGGCUCACCAUGGCAAUGAUACGUAGCCGACCUGAGAGGGUAAUCGGCCACAUUGGGACUGAGACACGGCCCAAACUCCUACGGGAGGCAGCAGUAGGGAAUCUUCCACAAUGGACGAAAGUCUGAUGGAGCAACGCCGCGUGAGUGAAGAAGGGUUUCGGCUCGUAAAACUCUGUUGUUAAAGAAGAACAUAUCUGAGAGUAACUGUUCAGGUAUUGACGGUAUUUAACCAGAAAGCCACGGCUAACUACGUGCCAGCAGCCGCGGUAAUACGUAGGUGGCAAGCGUUGUCCGGAUUUAUUGGGCGUAAAGCGAGCGCAGGCGGUUUUUUAAGUCUGAUGUGAAAGCCUUCGGCUCAACCGAAGAAGUGCAUCGGAAACUGGGAAACUUGAGUGCAGAAGAGGACAGUGGAACUCCAUGUGUAGCGGUGAAAUGCGUAGAUAUAUGGAAGAACACCAGUGGCGAAGGCGGCUGUCUGGUCUGUAACUGACGCUGAGGCUCGAAAGUAUGGGUAGCAAACAGGAUUAGAUACCCUGGUAGUCCAUACCGUAAACGAUGAAUGCUAAGUGUUGGAGGGUUUCCGCCCUUCAGUGCUGCAGCUAACGCAUUAAGCAUUCCGCCUGGGGAGUACGGCCGCAAGGCUGAAACUCAAAGGAAUUGACGGGGGCCCGCACAAGCGGUGGAGCAUGUGGUU